GACGAACGCUGGCGGCGUGCUUAACACAUGCAAGUCGAGCGACAGUGUUCUUCGGGAUAUAUGGAGCGGCGAACGGGUGAGUAACACGUGGGCAACCUGCCCCUAGCUCUGGGAUAACUCCGGGAAACCGGGGCUAAUACCGGAUAUGACCACAGGUGGCAUCUUCUGUGGUGGAAAGUUUUUCGGCUAGGGAUGGGCCCGCGGCCUAUCAGCUUGUUGGUGGGGUAAUGGCCCACCAAGGCGACGACGGGUAGCCGGCCUGAGAGGGCGACCGGCCACACUGGGACUGAGACACGGCCCAGACUCCUACGGGAGGCAGCAGUGGGGAAUAUUGCGCAAUGGGCGAAAGCCUGACGCAGCGACGCCGCGUGAGGGGAUGAAGGCCUUCGGGUUGUAAACCUCUUUCAGCAGGGACGAAAUCAGACGGUACCUGCAGAAGAAGCACCGG
rnacentral:rRNA from 1 species